AUUCAUAUAUGUACAUGAAACAUCAACUUCCCUAAACCAUUAGCCAGUGAGGUUCUAAUUUCACAAAACAAAGAACAUGGUAACCAAUGCAAGCAUAGAACUCGAACCAACAACCCGUUUCUGAGUCGAAAAUGCAAACCUUGUUUGAUGAGGGGGAUGUUGGAAUUUCUAUUCCGAGAGAGCAAUCUUUAGGGAAAACUCCUUUCUCAAUGUCUCUAAUUGUGGCGGUUAUCAAAGGUAAACAGACACCAACAGCAUCCUUAAAGUCACUUUCUUUGCUUUCAUCUUUCUUCCUGUAAUAAUAGAUAAGAAAAUAAGAAGUAUGACCAAAACGUCCCAUGAUAAAUAAUCACUAGUUCUAUGACAUAUAUCAGCACGCAUUCCCAUGAUAUACGCACCAGUUCAAUGAUAAACACAAAGAGGGUACUCCAGAAAUCAAGGCUUCCCUGGCUCCAGCCACUCCACCGGAAUAGAACCUGAAAGAUUCUCGCAUCAGGAAACACAAAGCAGAUGGACAGACAAGGAAUAACUAGUUAAGAAAAAAAGCACAUACAUUUGAUGCCCACAGCUUGAGCCCUGAUUGAUUCCACUAAUUAUCUGAAGAAAAUAAGGAAAAGGAUGCAUAACAUUAGAAGAUACCAUAACAUCAUAUAUGAUGGGGAGAUGAUUAAAAAAAAUGCUAAACCAGUAUUGGUUUUGACCAAGCGAAAAGCGCUCCGGAUAAUCCUAAUGAGAUGCAGUCCACAGGAGUCCCUGAGACAAAAACAACAAUAAUCUCAAAGCCUAUGAACAGAGACGGUACUCACACCAUGAUGCAAAAGACUAUUCCAACAACCAACAAAAAGACUUCAACUUUCAGCUUAUAGAUGUAAUGAUCAUUCACCUGAAACUUCAAAGGCUGUGGCACCUUUGAUACCAGCGGAACUCGCAGCAAUGGUUUCUGCAGGAGUCAUAGAAUGAGAAGAAGCCGAUUUAUCCCUGCCACAUUCACAAGCCUUGUGGGUCACUAAAAGUUUGAAACUUUAACAAGAAAAAAUGAACAAAUCAUAAAACGAAAUCUUGCUCACGUUUGAGGAGCACAGACAUGGACAUUGUAGAGCCCUUCCUUAACCAAAGCCUCGACGAGAGAGACGAGCCCAAUCGAAUCAAUCCCAUCCCCAUUCGUGACUAAAACGAUGGGUCUGGAGUCAUCGAUCUCCUCCUUGGCCGCAACAUCGACGGAGACAGAAGUAGACGGAGGAGGCUCCUCCUCCUCCGCGGAUCCAUCGCUUCCUCCUUUUCUCUUGGAAAGCACGUCCUGGAGAUUCGAGACGAGCGCGGCCGACAAGCCGUUGUUCUUCGAGGUCAUCGUGUCGAAAGAGAGAACACGCAGAUGAGGUGGGUCCUGUCUUGAAGACGAAGAAGAAAGUUGGGAGAGGGAGAGAGAGCGGGUCUAACGGAGGAAAGAGAGAAGCUUUAAUUGGCAGAGAGAGAGAGAGAUUACCUGUGUCAACUGUUAUCUCUUUUUAGAUAGACAAGAGGAAGAACAGUGACCCGCUAUUUUUUUUCCAAACAGAAAACAUAAAUAUUAAUAAGUAUACAAUUUAAGUUAAUAAAAUAUUUAGCCAUAUAAAUACAUAAACCUCAUAAUUAAAAUAAAUUAUUUGGAAUAGUAUUUUUUACAAGUUAAUAUAAAAUUAUUCUUACUCGUAAACUCUUACUUAUGCAUAUAAAGACCUGGACCUUGAAAUUAAAAUAAAUUUAAUUUUUUUUUUCUGGUUAGGGUCAAAAGAAUGUAACAUGUUAUGAAUGGUCCACAUCUAAUAAUUACUCAGUUAUUAUGACAUGCAUUUAAAGAUAUUUGUGGAAAAUAAUUUGAACCGACAACAUCAUAGUAUCAUGUUGGUUGAUAAUUAAAACUGUUAAUUGUUGCUAGAUCAUAUGCUACUGGAAUUUUUUUUUUUUAUAUCAAAAUAGCCUUUUGAUUUAAUUAGUUUUAGUUGCACUAUGUUAUUUAUGCUUUAUUACUGAAUUGGGUACAAAUAAGCUGGUCUGAUAUUGACUGAAUCUUAGUGCAGCCGUCAACCCAAAGCUCAAGCCACUGGUAUCUGCCCAGACCUGGUUCAACAUGAGAAGUUUCCAACAAUGACUGGAGACUCAUACAGCCAGAGAGUUUGAUAGUCUCCAACAGAACUAGUUCCGGAAACGCUUUAAGUCUUCUGCAGUUACAAAGGCUGACGUGUUUCAGCCUCAGAAGUUGAUUCAUGGUCUCUGGUAAAGUCUCGAAAUCGUUGCCGUUCCAGUCCAGCUUCUCUAGGAGUUGUAAGGAGCUUACAUCAUCUGGGAUCACUUUAAUGUUUAAGUUGAAUAGAUUUAACUCUUUCAAGCAGGGGAACAUGUAAAGGCUAUGACAGAGGAAACUUGCAGCAGCAGCAUCACUCUUGUAGUUGAACCUGGUGAUCUCCAUGGCAUUAAAACCGUGGAACUCUGACCUAUUGGGUCGAUGCCUCUGCUGCUCUACUUUCUUUGUCCUCCGUUUAUGAUCGUAAAACAGAAGUGGUUGCUGGUCCAUCCUUAUCAGUACAUGAGGUGCUUGUUUCUCAGAACUAAAACAAAGGUGAUCCACGUUGCCGGCAAGCCCCACCAUCUGAAUUUGUAUGUUUCCUCCAAUGGAUAGAUAUGUAGUGGACCUCAUUUCCACUUCAUUACUUGAGAAAUACAAAACAAUCUGCCAAGAACGCCCAGUGAAUUCCUUUAUGGUGAUGUGGUAGUUACUAGUAAGCUCAUCACAGUCUGUGACAUCAAGCAUUGUCAGGCUAGUAAGGUUACUAAUGGACUCUGAAUCCUCUUGAGCCUCUUGCAGCCUUGAGUUAUCACUUCUUCCAAAUUCACCGCAUGCGAAAGAUCUGGAAGCUGUUCAAGAUUCUUAGACCCUGUCAAGUCUAGUCUUCUCAAGUGUAGUAACCACUGGGGAUAAGAUAAACCAACAAGGAAUAAGCAAAUUGUUAGUUAACAUGUGGUAGUAAUCACUGCGCACUUAUGAAGAGCGUUUACCUUGGUUCCUUUCAUCAAGCUUGUGAGAUUGCUGUAACGUAAACUGACUUCGACAAGACCUAGUGGAAGGAACCGGGGAGGAAAGUCUGUCAAAGGAAACGCAUCCCAGUGUAGUAACCUAAGCCUCACCGAAAGUAAAUAUGUAUCGUCACUCAUGAAAUGCAGCAUGGGAUCAACGUGGUCUGAGAGCCUGUGAACCUUGAGGAACUUGAGAUUAUUGUGGUCGUUUUUCGCAUACCCAUCGAGAUACAACUCUUCUGGCAUCUCGCACAUGUGUAGAGCCAUGCAUGCCACUGAUUGGUUGUCCUGUGGUGUUGACACUGAGAAAGUUAAGUUUGCAUUUAUACAACAGCAACAUAUGUUACAGAUGCUGUAGACUAGGCCUGCGGUUUAUAACCGAGCUCGCCGAACCAAAGGUAGGUUUAUUAAAAAAAAAUCUGGUUUUCGGUUCGGUAAUAAAUUAGUUCGGUUUUUCGAAAACUACUCGGUUCCUUCUUAUGUGGUAACUGGUAAGGACGAAGAGACUUGGGCUCGAUGCAUCACAAGGUAAUGAUGGUAUCCAAGAGGUGUGUAGCUACGUAGAAGCAUCUGAAUACCUUCAAAUUAAAUCAAAGCGAUACAUAGUAGCAGAUGAAGGAGAGUAUUCACCUUCAUAUCACAUGUUGCUUUGACAACAUCUCCAUAGCCCUCAAAGCGAUGCUUACAUAAGUAUUGUUCAGCGUUCAAUAAAACUAACAAGCAAAGACUUAUUGUCCCUAUGAUUAUGUAAAGAUUUGAUGGAAGCUAUGAAAAAAAGGUGGGUCACACUUGUAGGAUAUUGAAAAAUAAAUUCAAUGCAAUAUCAACAUGUUUCACAUUGGAAACCUCCCUACCUCCUUUAUUAAGCAAAACUCAAAGAUAGCUCUCUUCAUAUAUCUGAUCAAUAACAACAUGCUUCACAUUAGAAAUCUCACUACCUCCUUUAUGAGGCAAAACUCAAAGAUAGCUCAUGAUACAUAUCUCAGCUGAAGCAAUAGUGUCAUCCAGGGGAUCUGGGACCGUUCUUCUCGAUCAAAAGGUAUACAAAAACAAAGUUUCUACGAAUUUAGAAGAUAAUAAAAGUAGACCGACCCUUUUCAAUUACAAAGGCAAGUGUUCCAAAACAGCUACUGACAAACAAACAAGCCAACAGAAGCAAGCCACGAGGGAAAUCGAAUAAAUAGAAUAAACAAAAGGGUUAAAACGACACACACAUGCUGAAUCUAGUUACCAGAUUUGUUUGGCCAAAUCAUGUAACAUAAUUUACUAGAAGGACCUUUUUCAUUGAUCAGCAUUAAGGGCUUUGGAGAUCCAUUCUGAUGCUGCGGCUUGAGUUUCUGAAUCCAUCUUUGGAAGUAGCGACAAUGGAGUCACAGAAACCUGUCAUUACAAAAAAGAGUUCAGUAAAGUAGCUUAGAUUCCAGACCAGAGAAGAGCGUGUGAUCAUGCCAACUUACAAAACCAUCUUCUAGAGCCUUGAUAUCCAAAUCUUCAUCCGUAUGCUCUUCUUGUUCUUUACCCACAAACUGCAUAUUAACAUAGUCAGGACUCAGGAUCUCAAACACAAUGGUACAUACUAUCAAUAUCCAAAGGAUUUGUGAAGAGAACGUCUCAAAGUUCUUCUUUACCUCUAGGCGGAAGUAUUUCUUAACACGGCUAUCAGUUUUAGCAGCAACACCAACCGAUUCAAUCUCCACAAUACUCUUCUUCUGUGUGGUGAAACGACGAGCCGCUCCCUGAGAUCACCAGAUAUCUUAAUCUCAGUAUCUAAUUAACUACUUUUGGACCUUGUGAAAACAAAGUUGAGGUUUAUAACUUUUGAAUAGAAGGAAUUAACUCACAGCAGCUGAAGCAUCUCUGCCAAGCUGAGCAAGUUGAGCUCCUAGGCUUUGUUGGUUGGACAUGAAAUUCCCAGCACCAGGGUGACGGUUAGCUGAAACAGCUUGCCAGCUAGGAGUCUGCCUCCACAUGCUUUGUUUUGUUACCUUAAAACCCUAUUCAUAUAUGUACAUGAAACAUCAACUUCCCUAAACCAUUAGCCAGUGAGGUUCUAAUUUCACAAAACAAAGAACAUGGUAACCAAUGCAAGCAUAGAACUCGAACCAACAACCCGUUUCUGAGUCGAAAAUGCAAACCUUGUUUGAUGAGGGGGAUGUUGGAAUUUCUAUUCCGAGAGAGCAAUCUUUAGGGAAAACUCCUUUCUCAAUGUCUCUAAUUGUGGCGGUUAUCAAAGGUAAACAGACACCAACAGCAUCCUUAAAGUCACUUUCUUUGCUUUCAUCU
rnacentral:lncRNA from 1 species